rnacentral:rRNA from 1 species
UACGUAGGUGGCAAGCGUUGUCCGGAUUUAUUGGGUUUAAAGGGUGCGUAGGCGGUUUAAUAAGUCAGUGGUGAAAUACGGCAGCUCAACUGUCGAGGUGCCAUUGAUACUGUUGGACUUGAGUACAGACGAGGUAGGCGGAAUUGACGGUGUAGCGGUGAAAUGCUUAGAUAUCGUCAAGAGCACCGAUAGCGAAGGCAGCUUACUAGGCUGUAACUGACGCUGAGGCACGAAAGUGUGGGGAUCAAACAGG